rnacentral:tRNA from 1 species
GGUUUAGUGUACUGGUUACACGCUCGCUUCACAUGUGAGAGGCCCAAGGUUCGAGCCCGAGUAGAAUCA